AUGGAAUGGAAACUUGAUGGAGGGGGGAUGGAGAUAGUGGCUCCCAUCAACAACCAGGAUGUUUGUAUUGUCAAUUUACUGAAAUCUGUAUCUGAGCCCCUUGCAUUAUUGUGUUGAGGAAAGGUUCGGUCCGACUACCAACAGCUUCGCCGUGAGUUAAUCGAAGUGCAGGCGCUUCAGAGAGAGCUAUCUACGCGCCUGCGCUCACAGUUGCGACUAGUACAUGGGAAA